GGGAAUUUCGGGAAAUACCGCGACUGUCGGACUCUUAAUCCGUAGGUCGAGUGUUCGAGUCACUCACGCCCCACCA
rnacentral:tRNA from 1 species